UACGUAGGGUGCGAGCGUUAAUCGGAAUUACUGGGCGUAAAGCGUGCGCAGGCGGUUUUGUAAGCCGGAUGUGAAAUCCCCGGGCUUAACCUGGGAAUGGCAUUCGGGACUGCAAGGCUGGAGUGCGGCAGAGGAGACUGGAAUUCCUGGUGUAGCAGUGAAAUGCGUAGAUAUCAGGAGGAACACCGAUGGCGAAGGCAGGUCUCUGGGCUGACACUGACGCUCAUGCACGAAAGCGUGGGGAGCAAACAGGG
rnacentral:rRNA from 1 species